GCCUCUUUAACUCAGUGGUAGAGUGUUGCACUUGUAUAAAACGAGCAAAUGCAUUGGUCAGUCGUUCAAUCCGGCUAGGAGGCA